rnacentral:rRNA from 1 species
CCUACGGGUGGCAGCAGUGGGGGAUAUUGCACAAUGGGGGAAACCCUGAUGCAGCGACGCCGCGUGUGGGAAGACGGUCCUCUGGAUUGUAAACCACUGUUCCCAGGGACGAAAAUGACGGUACCUGGGAGGAAGCUCCGGCUAACUCCGUGCCAGCAGCCGCGGUAAUACGUCGGGAGCGAGCGUUGUCCGGAAUUACUGGGUGUAAUGGGAGCGUAGGCGGGGAUGCCAUUUGGGUGUCAAAACUACCGGCUCAACUGGUAGUCGCACUCAACACUGCAGCUCUUGAGUGAAGUAGAGGCAGGCGGAAUUCCUGGUGUAGCGGUGAAAUGCGUAGAUAUUAGGAGGAACACCAGUGGCGAAGGCGGCCUGCUGGGCUUUUACUGACGCUGAUGCUCGAAAGUGUGGGGAUCAAACAGGAUUAGAGACCCGAGUAGUC